GUGCUUGCUUCAGUAGCACAUACACUAAAAUUGGAAUGACAUGGAGGAGAUUAGCAUGGCCCUUGCUCAAGGAUGAAACCCCGAUUUAUGAAGCAUUCUAUAUUUUU
ensembl:snRNA U6 U6 spliceosomal RNA